AUUUGGAGCGCUAGGAGGCCUAUGGUGAAGAAGGAAAUAUCUUCCCAGAAAAACUAGACAGAAGCAUUCUCAGAAGCUUGUUUAUGACGUGUGUACUCAACAAACAGAGUUGAACUUUUCUUUUGAUAGAGCAGUUUUGAAAAACUCUUUUUGUAGAAUCUGUAAGUGAAUAUUUGGAUACCUUUGAGGAUUUCGUUGGUAACGUAAAUAUCUUCAUUUAAAAUCUAGACAGAAGCAUUCUCAGAAAUACCUUAGUGAUGUUUGCAUUCACAUCACGGAGUUGAACAUUCCCUUUCAUAGAGCAGGUUUGAAACCCUCUUUUGUAGUAUCUGGAGAUGAACAUUUGGAGCGCUUUGAGACCAAUGGUGUAAAAGGAAAUCUCCUCCCAUAAAAACAAGACAGAAGCAUUCUCAGAAACUUGUUUAUGAUCUGUGUAGUCAACUAACAGAGUUGAACCUUUCUUUUGAUAGAGCAGUUUUGAAACACUCUUUUUGUAAAAUCUGCAAGUGGAUAUUUGGAGAGCUUCGAGGAUUUCGUUGGAAACUGGAAUAUCUUCAUAUAAAAUCUAGACUGAAGCAUUCUGAAAACAUGUUUGUGAUGUUUGCAUUCAAGUCACAGAGUUGAACAUUCCCUUUCAUACAGCACGUUUUAUACACUCUUUUUGUGGUA
rnacentral:lncRNA from 1 species